rnacentral:rRNA from 1 species
GUCCACGCGGUAAACGAUGGGCGCUAGGUGUGGGGGGUUUUAAUCCCUCCGUGCCGCAGCUAACGCAUUAAGCGCCCCGCCUGGGGAGUACGGCCGCAAGGUUAAAACUCAAAGGAAUUGACGGGGGCCCGCACAAGCGGUGGAGCAUGUGGUUUAAUUCAACGCAACGCGAAGAACCUUACCUGGGCUUGACAUCUGGGGAACCUCAUGGAAACAUGGGAGUGCGGAGCAAUCCGAGCCCCAAGACAGGUGCUGCAUGGCUGUCGU